CCUACGGGAGGCUGCAGUGAGGAAUAUUGGUCAAUGGGCGAGAGCCUGAACCAGCCAAGUCGCGUGAAGGAUGACGGCCCUACGGGUUGUAAACUUCUUUUGUCAGGGAGCAAUUGGGUCCACGCGUGGGCUUAGCGAGAGUACCUGAAGAAAAAGCAUCGGCUAACUCCGUGCCAGCAGCCGCGGUAAUCCGGGGGAUGCGAGCGUUAUCCGGAUUUAUUGGGUUUAAAGGGUGCGUAGGCGGAAUAUCAAGUCAGCGGGAAAAAUUCGGGGCUCAACCCCGUCGUGCCGUUGAAACUGAUGUGCUUGGGGGGGCGGGAAGGAUGGGGAAUGCGUGGUGUAGCGGUGAAAUGCAUUGAUA
rnacentral:rRNA from 1 species